UCUAAAACAUCGUGGUCUUUAUUUUCAGAUCAAGAUUCAGUGCGUUUGUUGGCUGUUGAAGGUUGUGCUGCUCUUGGUAAAUUGUUGGAGCCACAAGAUUAUGUAGCUCACAUUCUUCCGGUCAUUGUCAAUUUCUACCAGUAUCUGACCGAGAACAAUUAUUUCGUGAUGAUUGGGGUAAUUGGGCUGCCCGGUGUAGGCAAGUCAACCAUCAUGAACGAGCUUUAUUAAUAUGAUGCAAGCUACCUGUGGUAACAAAAGAGAUGCCAAGUGCGCUGAGGAUGCAGAGGCCAGAACAUACAUACAGUUCCCAUUUUCUGAACACAGAAACCAAUGGCACCGUCGAAUUCAGAAAGAGCAGAAAGCAAGUU